rnacentral:lncRNA from 1 species
CGUUAAGAAUGUUACUUCAACGGUUUAUUUUUGCCAUUGGGUUUGUGUUUAGUCUGAGCUUUAUUUCUUUUUAUUUCUUUCAUUAUCUUCGUUUUGUUUCUUUAUAUUUUAUUCAUUGCCUUUGUUUGACACAAUAAGGUCAGUGGUUAAGAUGGUUAAGGCUUUCGGUCUCCCAACUCCCCUGACCAAGGUUUGAUUCCAGUGUGCCACAUUUUCUUUUUUGGGGUUUCUAAGGUUUUUCUAUUUUAUGUGUUUUGUUUCCUUUUUAUAUUUUUCGUUGCCGGUUGAGGCUCCGGUCU